rnacentral:misc_RNA from 1 species
GAUGAAGAACGUAGCGAAAUGCGAUAAGUAAUGUGAAUUGCAGAAUUCAGUGAAUCAUCGAAUCUUUGAACGCACAUUACGCCCGCCAGUAUUCUGGCGGGCAUGCCUGUUCGAGCGUCAUUUCAACCCUCAAGCCCCCGGGCUUGGUGUUGGGGAUCGGCGUGCCCUCGCGGCGCGCCGUCCCCUAAAUCUAGUGGCGGUCUCGCUGUAGCUUCCUCUGCGUAGUAGCAACACUCGCACUGGAUCGCAGCGCGGCCACGCCGUUAAACCCCCCACUUCUGAAAGUUUGACCUCGGAUCAGGUAGGAAUACCCGCUGAACUUAAGCAUAUCAAUAAGCGGAGGA